ensembl:rRNA 5S_rRNA 5S ribosomal RNA
AACCAUGGCCAUACCAUCUUGAACAAGCUUGAUCUCGUCUGAUCUCGGAAGCUAAGCAGGGAGCUAAGCUAAGCAGGGUUGGGCCUGGUUAGUACUUGGAUGGGAGACCACACAGGAAGACCAGGUGUUGUAGGCA